GUGUCAGCCGCCGCGGUAAGACGUAGGAUGCAAGCGUUGUCCGGAUUUAUUGGGCGUAAAGAGUUCGUAGGCGGUUUGUUAAGUCUGAUGUUAAAGACCGGGGCUCAACCUCGGAAAUGCAUUGGAUACUGGCAGACUGGAGUGCAGUAGAGGCUAGUGGAAUUCCCAGUGUAGCGGUGAAAUGCGUAGAUAUUGGGAAGAACACCGGUGGCGUAGGCGACUAGCUGGGCUGUAACUGACGCUGAGGAACGAAAGCCAGGGGAGCAAAUGGGAUUAGAUACCCCAGUAGUCCUGGCCGUAAACGAUGGAUACUAGGCGUAGUGGGUAUCGACCCCUGCUGUGCCGCAGCUAACGCGAUAAGUAUCCCGCCUGAGUAGUACGGCCGCAAGGUUGAA
rnacentral:rRNA from 1 species